UACGAGGGGAGCAAGCGUUGUUCGGAUUUACUGGGCGUAAAGGGCGCGUAGGCGGUCGUGACAAGUCACUUGUGAAAUCUCCGGGCUUAACUCGGAACGGUCAAGUGAUACUGUCGGACUAGAGUACAGAAGGGGCAACUGGAAUUCUCGGUGUAGCGGUGAAAUGCGUAGAUAUCGAGAGGAACACCUGCGGCGAAGGCGGGCUGCUGGGCUGAUACUGACGCUGAUGCGCGAAAGCCAGGGGAGCGAACGGG
rnacentral:rRNA from 1 species